ACGGAAGGCAGCAGUGGGGAAUAUUGCACAAUGGGGGAAACCCUGAUGCAGCGACGCCGCGUGAGUGAGGAAGUUAUUCGUAAUGUAAAGCUCUAUCAGCAGGGAAGAAAAUGACGGUACCUGACCAAGAAGCCCCGGCUAACUACGUGCCAGCAGCCGCGGUAAUACGUAGGGGGCAAGCGUUAUCCGGAUUUACUGGGUGUAAAGGGAGCGUAGACGGCUUUGCAAGUCUGAUGUGAAAGGCGGGGGCUCAACCCCUGGACUGCAUUGGAAACUGCGGGGCUCGAGUGCCGGAGGGGUAAGCGGAAUUCCUAGUGUAGCGGUGAAAUGCGUAGAUAUUAGGAGGAACACCAGUGGCGAAGGCGGCUUACUGGACGGUAACUGACGUUGAGGCUCGAAAGCGUGGGGAGCAAACAGGAUUAGAUACCCUGGUA
rnacentral:rRNA from 1 species